rnacentral:rRNA from 1 species
AUGUAUCCUCUAGCUUGGAUUGUAGUUGACCAUGAAACAAAUAUAACCUGGAAGUGGUUUAUUGGGCUGCUCAUUAAGGACUUGGAAAUAAACAACAAUGGAGCUGACCGGGUUAUUAUUUCUGAUCAGCAGAAGGCUUUGAUAAAUGUAGUGAAGGAUUACCUGCUCAAAGCACAUUGCUCCCUUGGUAGUUUUGGUAAUUAA